ensembl:lncRNA
GGAAAUGGCAACCAACUUCAGUGUUCUUGCCUGGGAAAUCCCAGAGACGGCAGAGCCUGGUGGGCUGCCGUCUAUGGGGUCGCACAGAGCUGGACACGACUGAAGUGACUUAGCAGCAGCAGCAGCAGUUUCAAAAAAUUUGGAUUUUUUUAGAAUAUCUGCUGUUUUACGGGGAUAGUAAAAUAGAGUACUUAAAAACAGUAUUGUUUCAGGUGAGCUGGCCAUCUCACAAACAGACUCAGUUAAAAUUCCUGUUUUCCAAAGUAGAACUAGAAAUUAUUUUACAAAUGCAUCAUUGCAAAUGUAUCAGGAACUUCAUUACAUCAUAGCUUCCUUCAGCAACCAGCAAGAAGAGCCUCUGAAGCAAGUCUGCUAGCAAGACAGUAUCACAGAAUAUAGCAUAAUCACGAGAAGGGCAUGCUAGUUUUAGCCUCAGUUGAUCACCAUUGCCUGAAUAAAUUAUGACAGCUGCAACCUGUUUGAACAUCUGGAAGUUCUCGGUUCACGUAUUGCUGAAGCCUGGCUUGAAGGAUUUUGACCGUUAUUUUGCGAGCAUGUGAGCAUCAUCUUUUAGGAUUUGAAACAGCUCCGCUGGAAUUCCAUCACCUCCACUAGCUUUGUUCGCAGUGAUGCUUCCUAAGGCCCACUUGACUUCGCAUUUCAAGAUGUCCGGUUCUAGAGAUACCAGAGAACGCAUCUCUGUGUGCAUGCGCCAAGGUAAGGGCCUGUGAGGACAAAGCGAGAAGGCAACUGUCCGCAAGCCAGGAAGACAGCCCUCACGGAAGACUAGACUCACCAGAACCUUGAUGUUGAAACUCUAGCCUCCAGAACUACAAGAAAAUAAAUCCACAGUGUUUAAGCUACCUGCAUGUGUGCUUAGCCACGUCCAACUGUUUGUGACCCCAUG